GAGACAGUUCGGUCCCUAUCUGCUAUGCGUGUAGAAGAAUUGAGAGGAGUUGACCCUAGUACGAGAGGACCGGGUUGAACAUACCACUGGUGGACCGGUUGUAGCGCCAGCUGCAGUGCCGGGUAGCUAAGUAUGGACGAGAUAACUGCUGAAAGCAUCUAAGCGGGAAACUCACCUCAAAACUAGUUCUUCCUAUAGAGCCGUGGUAGACCACCACGUUGAUAGGCUGGAUGUGGAAGCGCAGUAAUGCGUGCAGCUGACCAGUACUAAUAGCUCAAUUGGCUUGAUUUAUG
rnacentral:rRNA from 1 species